CACCAGAUGCUCACAAUUACAGAGUCAAGUAAUCACACAUAAAAUCGAGGAUAAGGACAGAGUUACCCUCCUUCUUCGCGACCGGAGAAGAUCGGCCUUCAAACAACAGAUAAACCCUAGGUAUCAAACCCUAGGUAUAGCUUUUGAAAAAACAAACUUUACCGGAGAUCUGGUCAGGAACGUCGGAAAUACACCCAAAGCGUCCACAAAGUGAUAAU
rnacentral:lncRNA from 1 species